GAGUUAAAAACUCUUACUGCAGGGACUUAACAUCUUACCCAAGUCACCUUUCUGGUCUCUUGAUAAACUAUAUAAGGGAAAUUAUUAAUGAUGGCAAGAGAAAAGAGUUUAGAAUUAAUUCUAAAAUUUGAAAACUUGGACCAAAAGCAAAAUUCCAAAAUGGAUGCUCCCAGAUAGCAACUUUCAAAACCUCUAGGAUUCACGUUCAUGACUGCCUAGCUAGUGCUUACGGAGGUCCCUUACCAGGGCACAACGACGACCCAAGGAGGGGACCCAGGAAGAGAUACGUGGUGCUGGUGGAUAGUGAGGACCUAAUUUGUUGCCCCUGCACAAAGCUGGUUGAAGCCUAUCUGGAACUGGGUGUGUUCACUGUGGCUGGAGUAAAAGCUAAAGCUGAGAAGAUAUUGAAAUGCUAUCUGAAAGCUAUCAGAUAUACUCUAUAUCUUGUUCACUGAGAUCAACUCAUACCAUACAGAAUCAAGAUUAACAUAAGAGGAAACAGUGACAAGCUAACAGCACCUGACGGGCAGCAAAGUGACUGUCAUUUUGCCAAGGCGUUUUACUAAUACAGAAGGUGUUUUCUUUUACCAUCAUGAAAAGUGUGGCUUUCCUGUUAAGCUUGCUGCAUACAACUGGAAAGAAAAAGAAACCUGGCCUGAGAUGUUAGAAUGAAGUCUUUCCUGUUCAUUUGCCAGCAUUCCUUGCCUCAUUUAAAAGGGACCUACUGCAAAAGAAACUGAACUGAAAUGAUUUUCAGAUGUGAAUGGAUUGCAAGGUAGUCAGUCACCUGGUCUAGGGACCAGUCACACUUCCUUGGCAAUCUUUUUAAUGCUGCUAAGGUACCAUGCUUCAAUGAUCAUGGACUUCCAGGUCAUCCUACAGCCUUGUCCUUUGUUCAGGUCAAUUGAGUCAGUCAGAUUAACUCCUUGCACUGGCGUGGCUACUAAAUGAAUCCUCUCUUGAAUGGGAAAUGUUAUCUAAGUGCUAUGAAAGGAAAUGUUAGAUUAAUGGAAUCCCAGGGUUAGAAGGGAACUCAAGGGUCAUUUAUUUUUAGUCGACAUUUUGAUUGUGAAGCCUCCUCCCCUACAUAAUAUUUAUAUUUGCCAACUCUGCAUGAGGUAUGGGUUAGAACACUUUUAAUGAUAUCAUUUAUGUUUUUGUGGAGAAAACAGAAGUAUUUUUCAGCCCUCAUGGUCUAUUGGUAUUUUUCGUGCCAUAGUCCAUGAAAUGUACCUUGAUUUAAAUUCAGCUCUGAAACCUUAGAAGAAAGCCUAAAUGGAGCCAAGAAGGUGAGAGGCUUUGCUCUCUGAAGGCUCUGAGUAUAGCAAGUUUCCUAAUGGUGUAGAAGCUCUGGAUUAAGAAAGAGAAACUGAUACCAACUCUGUCUUAUCCUCUCGUGUGACUUGAGCAGUUCAAAGAAGGCUACCGUGACCUUGGAAUCUCUGUCCCAUUCAAACUGCAAGGCUUGAAAUUC
rnacentral:lncRNA from 13 species